GACGAACGCUGGCGGCGUGCCUAAUACAUGCAAGUUGAGCGCUGAAGGUUGGUACUUGUACCAACUGGAUGAGCAGCGAACGGGUGAGUAACGCGUGGGGAAUCUGCCUUUGAGCGGGGGACAACAUUUGGAAACGAAUGCUAAUACCGCGUAAAAACUUUAAACACAAGUUUUAAGUUUGAAAGAUGCAAUUGCAUCACUCAAAGAUGAUCCCGCGUUGUAUUAGCUAGUUGGUGAGGUAAAGGCUCACCAAGGCGAUGAUACAUAGCCGACCUGAGAGGGUGAUCGGCCACAUUGGGACUGAGACACGGCCCAAACUCCUACGGGAGGCAGCAGUAGGGAAUCUUCGGCAAUGGACGAAAGUCUGACCGAGCAACGCCGCGUGAGUGAAGAAGGUUUUCGGAUCGUAAAACUCUGUUGGUAGAGAAGAACGUUGGUGUGAGUGGAAAGCUCAUCAAGUGACGGUAACUACCCAGAAAGGGACGGCUAACUACGUG
rnacentral:rRNA from 1 species